GGGAGGGGGCCUGUCCAGAAGGGUGUAGGGCCCCACCCCCAGCUAGAGGCUCUGGAGAGUGGAGGAGGGACGCCCACGGCCACAGGCCUGGCCAGCAGCUGGGUGCCGUGCAAUGGUCAGGUGCCAGCCAGUGGGAGAAGGGGGAGGAUGGUGGCCGGGGCUAGGGAGGGUCCAGAACCUCCAGAGGAGGAAGACCCCAUGACCACCAGAGGCCGGGGGGCCUUCCCUGGGAACAGGGCCACAUGUGGGAUCUGGAGGACACAGGGGCAGCAGCGGGCAAAGCCACAGCAAACAAAGACACCCCACGGCACGCCCAGGGUGAUGGGCGUGCCCGUAGCACAUUCCCAUUCGUCACCAUCGUGACGCUCCCGGCCACCCAGAGCAAGGAUUACCAGCAAACCCGUUCCGCCCGCGAGGUUUAAGGUGCCCAGGCUCCUGAAGUCCCCGGCGGCAGGUCCCCUGGCUCGUCCCCACUCGUCCAGCAAAGGCAUGACCUGCCCAAGCACGCACAGUCGAGAUUCCACACUACGGUUCUUAACCUUCUGAGGGUCACGAUGUUCCCUGAUAAGCUGGUCCUCUCCCCACAGACACACAGAGGCACACACACAGUGCUGUCACCAAGCCCCAUGACGUCCCCCGCCAGGGAGGACCUUGCUGAGGCACGCUGAGGGAGAAGCAGCUGACUUCUCUUGCUAUACAUCAGGAUCUGUCUCAGGAGGGAGUGAGCUCCCUGUUGCCACAGGCAGCCUAACUAUGUGUCCAAGACCCUCUGUCCAAGACCCCCUGCCAGUCAGGGGUCUCAGCUGCCUGCCCCCCAGGUGAGACGACUGUAGCUCUGGGAAAGGCACUUGACCUGCCCCAGGUCACUCAACUCGGGGACGAUCCGUUGACUUGUGGCCUGAGGUUCUGGGCAGUGAGAAGAGGGAAUCACAGGAAGAAAGUGCAACGUAAGAGGGAAGAGGAGAGGAGGGCGGACAGGCUGAGAGCAGGAGCCACUGGCCUGGCCACCUCCCAGCUCCGAACCCACAGGCAUUGCUGCGAAAAACAGACUGUCACCUGGUGGCCGCAGAUACCGGGACAACCCUUCCAGAAAACACUGUGGUAAGGGGUAUUAAGGACAUAAAAACAUCUAAGCCCUCUCCCCGGGGAUCACCCUUACAGGAAUUCAUCCCGAGGAACACCCAGAGGAAGGAAAAAGGUCUUGGUCACAGUAUUUGCUUUGCUGCAGCCUUACUUGUAAUAAAAAAUAAACAAAAUGCCUCCCGAGUCAGAGGUAACCAGACUAUUCUGUCAGCGCAGUCACAUCCACGCACAUCACGGGAAAAUGCUUGCGGUAACAUCAGAGAAUGUGUCAGACGCCGUGUUGAGUGAAAGCACCCACACGCCACCUCCCUGUUGCUACGAAGUUAUCUGUGCAAAUGCGUUUUUCAGGACCACGCGUCAGAAGGGCCACGGACCGGUCGGCCCUCCCACCGCUCAGACGUGACCCUCUCGGACUGCGACGUCUGGUCUGGGAUGGGGGUGAUCACUGUACCUGUGAGGCCGUGAGGCUUGGCCAGGUCUGUUCCAGAAGAACAUUCACGGACUCGGACGCCGGG